rnacentral:tRNA from 1 species
GGAGUUGUGGCUCAGCGGUAGAGUGCUCACCUAACAUGUGCGAAUCACCUGGGUUCGAUCCUCAGCACCA